rnacentral:rRNA from 1 species
GGAUUAGAUACCCUGGUAGUCCACGCUGUAAACGUUGGGCACUAGGUGUGGGGGCCACCCGUGGUUUCUGCGCCGUAGCUAACGCUUUAAGUGCCCCGCCUGGGGAGUACGGCCGCAAGGCUAAAACUCAAAGGAAUUGACGGGGGCCCGCACAAGCGGCGGAGCAUGCGGAUUAAUUCGAUGCAACGCGAAGAACCUUACCAAGGCUUGACAUGCACGGCGACACUGCAGAGAUGUGGUGGCAUUUAGUUGGUCGUGUGCAGGUGGUGCAUGGUUGUCGUCAGCUCGUGCCG